rfam:Dipodomys ordii contig_28858, whole genome shotgun sequence.
GGUGGCUCAGUGGUAGAGUGCUUGUCUUGCAUGCAUGAGGCCCUAGGUUCAAUUCCUCAGCACCA